UGCCUAAUGCAUGCAAGUCGCACGCACACCUUUCGGGGUGUGAGUGGCGGACGGCUGAGGAACACGUGGGUAUCUGCCUCGCAGUGGGGGACAACGGGCCGAAAGGUCCGCUAAUCCCGCAUACGUUCUCGCAAGAGAAGAAAGCCUUCGGGCGCUGGGAGAGGAGCCUGCGGCCCAUCAGAUAGUUGGCGGGGUAAUGGCCCACCAAGUCGGUGACGGGUCCCUGGUCUGAGAGGACGACCAGGCAGACUGGGACUGAGACACGGCCCAGACUCCUACGGGAGGCAGCAGCAAGGAAUUUUCGGCAAUGGGCGCAAGCCUGACCGAGCAACGUCGCGUGGAGGAAGACGGCUUUCGGGUUGUCAAACUGC
rnacentral:rRNA from 1 species